rnacentral:rRNA from 1 species
AGCGAACGCUGGCGGCAGGCUUAACACAUGCAAGUCGAACGGGCGUAGCAAUACGUCAGUGGCGGACGGGUGAGUAACACGUGGGAACGUACCUCUUGGUUCGGAACAACACAGGGAAACUUGUGCUAAUACCGGAUAAGCCCUUACGGGGAAAGAUUUAUCGCCGAGAGAUCGGCCCGCGUCUGAUUAGCUAGUUGGUAGGGUAAUGGCCUACCAAGGCGACGAUCAGUAGCUGGUCUGAGAGGAUGAUCAGCCACAUUGGGACUGAGACACGGCCCAAACUCCUACGAGAGGCAGCAGUGGGGAAUAUUGGACAAUGGGGGCAACCCUGAUCCAGCCAUGCCGCGUGAGUGAUGAAGGCCCUAGGGUUGUAAAGCUCUUUUGUGCGGGAAGAUAAUGACGGUACCGCAAGAAUAAGCCCCGGCUAACUUCGUGCCAGCCGCCGCCGUAA